UACGUAGGGGGCAAGCGUUGUCCGGAAUCAUUGGGCGUAAAGAGCGUGUAGGCGGCCCGGUAAGUCCGCUGUGAAAGUCCAGGGCUCAACCCUGGGAUGCCGGUGGAUACUGUCGGGCUCGAGGCCGGAAGAGGAGUGUGGAAUUCCUGGUGUAGCGGUGAAAUGCGUAGAUAUCCGGAGGAACACCGGUGGCGAAGGCGGCUUCCUGGACCGACACUGACGCUGAGGCGCGAAAGCUAGGGGAGCAAACGGG
rnacentral:rRNA from 1 species